UACGGAGGGGGCUAGCGUUGUUCGGAAUUACUGGGCGUAAAGCGCGCGUAGGCGGCUUUGUAAGUUAGAGGUGAAAGCCCGGAGCUCAACUCCGGAAUUGCCUUUAAGACUGCAUCGCUAGAAUCAUGGAGAGGUGAGUGGAAUUCCGAGUGUAGAGGUGAAAUUCGUAGAUAUUCGGAAGAACACCAGUGGCGAAGGCGACUGACUGGACAAGUAUUGACGCUGAGGUGCGAAAGCGUGGGGAGCAAACAGG
rnacentral:rRNA from 1 species